rnacentral:misc_RNA from 1 species
GAUGAAGAACGUAGCGAAAUGCGAUAAGUAGUGUGAAUUGCAGAAUUCAGUGAAUCAUCGAAUCUUUGAACGCACAUUGCGCCCCUUGGUAUUCCAUGGGGCAUGCCUGUUCGAGCAUCAUCUACACCCUCAAGCUCUGCUUGGUGUUGGGCGUCUGUCCCGCCUUUGCGCGUGGACUCGCCCCAAAUUCAUUGGCAGCGGUCCUUGCCUCCUCUCGCGCAGCACAUUUGCGCUUCUCGAGGUGCGCGGGCCGCGUCCACGAAGCAACUAUUACCGUCUUUGACCUCGGAUCAGGUAGGGAUACCCGCUGAACUUAAGCAUAUCAAUAAGCGGAGGA